CCAAACACGAAGACCUACCCCCUUCACCCCUCGCGCUCACCUCGCUCGCCUCCCUCCCCUCAGUCUCGCCUCCCUCGCUCUGGCCUCCCUCCCCUCGGUCUCGCCUCCCUCGGUCUCGCCUCCCCUCGGUCUCGCCUACCUCGGUCUCGCCUCCCUCCCCUCGGUCACGCCUCCCUCGGUCUCGGUCUCGCCUCCCCUCGGUCUCGCCUCCCCUCGGUCUCGCCUCCCUCGGUCUCGCCUCCCUCCCCUCGGUCUCGCCUCCUUCGCUCUCGCCUCCCCUCGCUGUCGCUCCGUCGCUCUCUCGGUCUCGCUCCGUCGCUCUCUCGGUCUCGCUCCGUCGCUCUCUCGGUCUCGCUCUCUCCUGCGAGUGCGUCGCCUCUGGAGGGAAGAGCAUGCAGUGGUGGUGCGUCAAUGGUGGCGGCGGUGAUAGUGGUGGUGGUGGUGGUGCGAAUCUGAUAUUAGGGUCAGAUUGGGGUUAGGGUUUUGCGAAUCUGCAAAAGGCUAAUGUGCUCAGAUCUGCAAAAGGGGUGAGGGUUGUGGAGAAAAAUGAAGAACUCCAUGGUUUUGCUUAAUCCAGUUCUCUCAAAGUUUUUUAUUUGUCUGUCUCCUUAAUCUUAUUUGUGUAAUUUGCAACUGUAAAUUCCUUGAUCUUAUUUGUGUAAUUUGCAACUGUAAAUUCUCUGGGCAAGUUUCUGUGUAAUUUGUUAAUGAAAAUUAACUAGAUUAUUUGUGUGCA